GACGAACGCUGGCGGCGCGCCUAACACAUGCAAGUCGAACGAGCGAGAGAGAGCUUGCUUUCUCAAGCGAGUGGCGAACGGGUGAGUAACGCGUGAGGAACCUGCCUCAAAGAGGGGGACAACAGUUGGAAACGACUGCUAAUACCGCAUAAGCCCACAGGUCGGCAUCGACCAGAGGGAAAAGGAGCAAUCCGCUUUGAGAUGGCCUCGCGUCCGAUUAGCUAGUUGGUGAGGUAACGGCCCACCAAGGCAACGAUCGGUAGCCGGACUGAGAGGUUGAACGGCCACAUUGGGACUGAGACACGGCCCAGACUCCUACGGGAGGCAGCAGUGGGGAAUAUUGCACAAUGGGGGGAACCCUGAUGCAGCGACGCCGCGUGGAGGAAGAAGGUCUUCGGAUUGUAAACUCCUGUUGUUGAGGAAGAUAAUGACGGUACUCAACAAGGAAGUGACGGCUAACUACGUG
rnacentral:rRNA from 1 species